UACGUAUGGUGCAAGCGUUAUCCGGAUUUACUGGGCGUAAAGGGAGCGCAGGCGGCGCGCCAAGUCUGAUGUGAAACCCCGGGGCUCAACCCCGGGCAUGCAUUGGAAACUGGCGGGCUGGAGUGCCGGAGAGGUAAGCGGAAUUCCUAGUGCAGCGGUGAAAUGCGUAGAUAUAUGGAGGAACACCGGUGGCGAAAGCGGCUCUCUGGCCUGUAACUGACACUGAGGCUCGAAAGCGUGGGGAGCAAACAGG
rnacentral:rRNA from 1 species